GACGAACCGUGCGAACGUUGUUCGGAAUCACUGGGCUUAAAGGGCGCGUAGGCGGAUCAUCAAGUCAGGGGUGAAAUACUUCGGCUUAACCGGAGAAUGGCUUCUGAUACUGGUGGUCUCGAGGGGUGUAGGGGCAUGUGGAACUUCCGGUGGAGCGGUGAAAUGCGUAGAUAUCGGAAGGAACGCCGGUGGCGAAAGCGACGUGCUGGACACCUUCUGACGCUGAGGCGCGAAAGCCAGGGGAGCAAACGGG
rnacentral:rRNA from 1 species